rnacentral:rRNA from 1 species
GAGGAGCCUGCGGCGGAUUAGCUUGUUGGUAAGGUAACGGCUUACCAAGGCGACGAUCCGUAGCCGGCCUGAGAGGGCGGUCGGCCACACUGACACUGACAUACGGGUCAGACUCCUACGGGAGGCAGCAGUCGGGAAUUUUGGGCAAUGGGCGAAAGCCUGACCCAGCAACGCCGCGUGAAGGAUGAAAUCCCUCGGGAUGUAAACUUCGCAAGAAUGGGAAGAAUUAGUAGGGGACAAUACCCCCUAUGAUGACGGUACCAUUUGUAAGCUCCGGCUAACUCCGUGCCAGCAGCCGCGGUAAUACGGGGGGAGCAAGCGUUGUUCGGAUUUACUGGGCGUAAAGGGCGCGUAGGCGGCCAGCACAAGUCGGUUGUGAAAUCUCCGGGCUUAACUCGGAAAGGUCAACCGAUACUGUGCGGCUAGAGUGCGGAAGGGGCAACUGGAAUUCUCGGUGUAGCGGUGAAAUGCGUAGAUAUCGAGAGG